rnacentral:rRNA from 1 species
GACGAACGCUGGCGGCGUGCCUAACACAUGCAAGUCGAACGGAGAAGUCAGCAAUGACUUCUUAGUGGCGAACGGGUGAGUAACGCGUAGACAACCAACCUUUUGGUGGGGACAACAUCUCGAAAGGGGUGCUAAUACCGCACGCGCUCUUCGUGGUACCUGCCAGGAAGAGGAAAGGGGCCGUAAGGCCUCGCCGAAAGACGGGUCUGCGUCUGAUUAGCUAGUUGGCGGGGUAACGGCCCACCAAGGCGACGAUCAGUAGCCGGUCUGAGAGGAUGAACGGCCACACUGGGACUGAGACACGGCCCAGACUCCUACGGGGGGCAGCAGUGGGGAAUCUUCCGCAAUGGACGAAAGUCUGACGGAGCGACGCCGCGUGAGUGAAGAAGGCCCUUGGGUCGUAAAGCUCUGUCAUCGGGGACGAACGGCCAGGUCAGGAAAUGGGCCUGGAUUGACGGUACCCGAGAAGGAAGCCACGGCUAACUACGUGCCAGCCGCCGCCGUAA